rnacentral:rRNA from 1 species
GAUGAACGCUGGCGGCGUGCCUAAUACAUGCAAGUCGAGCGAACAGACGAGGAGCUUGCUCCUCUGACGUUAGCGGCGGACGGGUGAGUAACACGUGGAUAACCUACCUAUAAGACUGGGAUAACUUCGGGAAACCGGAGCUAAUACCGGAUAAUAUAUUGAACCGCAUGGUUCAAUAGUGAAAGACGGUUUUGCUGUCACUUAUAGAUGGAUCCGCGCCGCAUUAGCUAGUUGGUAAGGUAACGGCUUACCAAGGCAACGAUGCGUAGCCGACCUGACAGGGGGAUCGGCCACACUGGAGCUGAGCCACGGUCCAGACUCCUACGGUAGGCAGCAGUAGGGAAUCUUCCGCAAUGGGCGAAAGCCUGACGGAGCAGCGCCGCGUGAGUGAUGAAGGUCUUCGGAUCGUAAAACUCUGUUAUUAGGGAAGAACAAAUGUGUAAGUAACUAUGCACGUCUUGACGGUACCUAAUCAGAAAGCCACGGCUAACUACGUG